GAUUUCAGGUGAAAAAGUCAUCAACAACAAAGUUGUAUAACUCGUCAAUAUCUAUAACUUUUAUCUUAGUCAUUUCUUCAUCCGACAAAGUGAUAGUAACAUUGUUCACAAAAUUUACAUAUCUUAUAUGGUUUUAUAAAAUAUAAGAGAGAUAUGUAAAUUUUUUGAAAAUGUUACUAUCACUUUAUCGGAUGAAGAAAUGACCAAAAUAAAAUUUAUAGAUCUUGAUGAGCUAUACAACUUUGUUAUCGAUGACUUUUUCAGCUAAAAUU
rnacentral:pre_miRNA from 1 species